rnacentral:rRNA from 1 species
GUCGAACGGGAUGCUUAGGCAUCUAGUGGCGGACGGGUGAGUAACGCGUGAGAAUCUGGCUCCAGGUCGGGGAUAACAGUUGGAAACGACUGCUAAUACCGGAUGUGCCGAGAGGUGAAAGAUUUAUUGCCUGGAGAUGAGCUCGCGUCUGAUUAGCUAGUUGGUGGUGUAAGGGACCACCAAGGCGUCGAUCAGUAGCUGGUCUGAGAGGAUGAUCAGCCACACUGGGACUGAGACACGGCCCAGACUCCUACGGGAGGCAGCAGUGGGGAAUUUUCCGCAAUGGGCGAAAGCCUGACGGAGCAAUACCGCGUGAGGGAGGAAGGCUCUUGGGUCGUAAACCUCUUUUCUCAAGGAAGAAGAAAGUGACGGUACUUGAGGAAUAAGCAUCGGCUAACUCCGUGCCAGCAGCCGCGGUAAUACGGAGGAUGCAAGCGUUAUCCGGAAUGAUUGGGCGUAAAGGGUCUGCAGGUGGAACUGAAAGUCUGCUGUUAAAGAGUUUGGCUUAACCAAAUAAAAGCGGUGGAAACUACAGAACUAGAGUGCGGUAGGGGCAAAAGGAAUUCCUGGUGUAGCGGUGAAAUGCGUAGAUAUCAGGAAGAACACCGGUGGCGAAAGCGUUUUGCUAGACCGUAACUGACACUGAGGGACGAAAGCUAGGGGAGCGAAUGGGAUUAGAUACCCCAGUAGUCCUAGCCGUAAACGAUGGAUACUAGGCGUGGCUUGUAUCGACCCGAGCCGUGCCGGAGCUAACGCGUUAAGUAUCCCGCCUGGGGAGUACGCACGCAAGUGUGAAACUCAAAGGAAUUGACGGGGGCCCGCACAAGCGGUGGAGUAUGUGGUUUAAUUCGAUGCAACGCGAAGAACCUUACCAAGACUUGACAUCCUGCGAAUCCYGGUGAAAGCURGGAGUGCCUUAGGGAGCGCAGAGACAGGUGGUGCAUGGCUGUCGUCAGCUCGUGUCGUGAGAUGUUGGGUUAAGUCCCGCAACGAGCGCAACCCUCGUUUUUAGUUGCCAGCAUUAAGUUGGGCACUCUAGAGAGACUGCCGGUGACAAACCGGAGGAAGGUGAGGAUGACGUCAAGUCAGCAUGCCCCUUACGUCUUGGGCUACACACGUACUACAAUGCUACGGACAGAGGGCAGCGAGCCAGGGAUGGCAAGCGAAUCCAGAAACCGUAGCUCAGUUCAGAUCGAAGGCUGCAACUCGCCUUCGUGAAGGAGGAAUCGCUAGUAAUUGCAGGUCAGCAUACUGCAGUGAAUUCGUUCCCGGGCCUUGUACACACCGCCCGUCACACCAU